rnacentral:lncRNA from 1 species
AAGUGCUUCCUCACCUCAGUCCUAUUCCCUAAUCCCAAUUCCUCACCUCAAUCCCUAAUCCCAAUUCCAAAUCAAACCCAUUUGGGUUUCUAAUUCCAGCUAGCGGAAGGUGGAUCUUGAAGCAGAUGCUAAGGUGCAGGCGUGCAGAAGGUAAGAUGUAAUCCUUUUUGUGCUUUGUGGCUUCGCAUACUUUUCAUUCUUUUGUUUAUGAGCUCCUCCAGUUCUAUUCCAGAAUGAAUAUCUACUUGUGGCAAUGCUCUCCUAACUGGUACCCUGUCCGCUUCAAACCAAUCAAUAUUUAGCUCAAGAAGAAGCUAAUCAGGUAAUUUGCAUUUUUUUUAUUUGUGAUUUUGUGAUAUUUUCCCAUGAAGAAUUAGUUAGUCUUGAUGACCAUGAUCCUAAGAAAUAGCUACUGUAGUUUAUAUUGUAUUGUUCUGUUUCUUAAAGACCAUACCUUUAGGAAUUUCUACUUUUCUUGUGCUGAAAAGGGUGUGCGCGCAAGCGCAUGUGUUUUUUUUUUUUCGUUGGAUGAAAUUCUUGGGAAAGACAAGAACAGAGACUAAUUGUAGACUUAGGCCAAUACUUAGCUCUGAUAAAUCCCUCUAUCUUUUUCUUCUGUUUUUAUUCGGUGGGAUGUGAAAUUUUGGAUUUUUGGGUGAAAGGUUGGAGUUUAUGGACUGAAAAUUGGCAGCCCUUUUGAGUAUUCCUACUUAUUUGGGUGACAUUAACAUUAUUCUGGAACUUCAUGUAAUUGUUUCUUGAAAAAGGAAUAGGUGUUUUUUUGUGUGUAGAAUCUAAGCCUUUGGCCCUGGAAGGAUUGUGUAGAAAUCCAAUCCUUGAGAGCAUUCUGAACAUGAUUUCAUGACAUUUGAAUUUCUAGCUUAAAAGAGAGAAUAAACUAAGAAAAAUGCACAUAGCUACAUUGGAGGUGAUCUUGUAUAAGUUCCAGGUAUUCUAGAACAUAACUCAUUUCAAAGGCUGAUUUAACUGUUCUAGUAGUUUCAGUGCAGGGUCAGCCAUUGGAGCUUAAUUGAAAGCAUUUAAUCAUGGUGUUACAACUGCAGAAGUAGUUGGCAUAGAUUGAGUUAGAUCAGAGACAUUUAGUUACUCAAAGCCUUUUACAGACAGAUUUAAGUCUCUUUAAUAUUCAUGUUUUUUUAUCCUCACUGCCUCACCAGAUUCUUCCUGCUGUGUCUCUACGGUAGUAAUUGCAUUCUGCUACAUAAUUAAUUAAUCUUUAUCCUUUUCUUCACUCUUUUCUUAUUGAGUUGUCAUUGCUUUUGGCUUUUGCUUUUAGUGAUCAUUUUAGUGCCAGAAGUCAAAGGCAAUAAUAACACUCACCAGGUGCAGGAGAAGGAUGCUACCAGAAAGAUGACAGACAGACACACACACACAGAAAUAUAGAGAGACAGAGAGAAAACGUAGGAAAUGCUUAUGUGUGCCAGAGAUUGGUGCCAAAACCUUCAUGGAGUGAAAAAAAGAUAGAAAAUAAGUUAAAUUCAAAUUCAUGUGAUUGAUACAAAAUUAGUUUAUUACUUAUUGUUAUUGUUAUUAUUAUUAUUAUUUUGCAGAAAGUGAAGGCAGCAAAAGAGAUUCUACUUCCCAUAAAAUGAAUGUGAUAAUUGGAAAGGUAUAUUGUUUGUAUUUAAUAUUUCGAUUUUUCUUCAAAUAUCUUAUUUUAGAUUUUACUACUACUAUUUAAUUACCUAAAUUAUUUAUUUUAUGUAGGGCCUGGAGUUGAAAAUUUGGAAUCCAUAAGCAAAAGCUGGAAAAGAUGGAAAAGAUUAUUGUGGAAUGGACAACAUGCUACUGUAUUUAAUUGCAGAAUUUGUUUCACAUUUUUAAUUUGAAUGUUGACACUUUGUCUUUGUUUUUCCUGUUUGUGUGACUUGGUGGAUGUUGGUUGUGUGACUUAUCUCUGAAUUUGGAUGUUAGAUUUGAUGUUAAAAUACGGAUGAAUUUGGAUAUUGGUUGCCAUAAUGGCUGAAAA